CACCUCACCACCGGCACAGACAAGGCCGACGGCCCCGGCCACUUCGCUAAGGGUUGUCCAGCGUAGGUCUUGGCUCUGGCGACCUUGAUUUUCGCAAGAUUCUCUCUAUCUUUCUCGAAGGUGACAUUGACCAUCGAAGUUGUGCCUCCGCCACUGCCAUAGACAAGACCGACAAGCUCUGGCGACUCCUUUGAGGGCCCUCUAAUAUCAGUCCCCUUCCGACGAUCGGGAUUUUUGUUUUCAUUUCAUUAGCGCAGACCUGGUGUUUCUGAUCUACUUUUUAUUUUUGUAUAAUCCUUGAGAUGACGAAGCGAGAUUAUCUUGGGAGAUGAUCUUGUGACUUGGGAUCGGGAGAUGACGACGCACGACGUGGAUUUGUCUCAGAUGGAAGGUGAGAGGUGGUUGAAGGUGGAAUAAAAAACUUUUUUUUUUACGAAAGAAGGAGGAAAUAGCUUUCGCAUCUUUGAACUUAGUAAAAGGAUGGCUAAGUUCAUGUGUUUAGGUGGGACAGCAGCUUCAUGGGUGGCUAAGGGGAUAGAGGAUUGUUUAGAACUCAACUGUCAUGAAGGAUUCUUCAGAGAGCUAAGGAUGGGUAAUGGAGAUCUCAUCAUUCAACAUCAUAUUAACACAAGGGCAGCUUUUAGCAACUCUCAUAAUUCUAGAAUGGAAGGAGGAAAGGAUUUUUGCAGUCCAUUCGAAGCGUUACUGGGUCCAAAGCCGCUAUUCUGAAGCAUGCAAACAGAGGGAGUUUGUUGAUGGAAAGAUAGUGGGAAGGCCUUCCUCGGUCAAAGGUGCUUCGUACGCUUUGGUGUUAAGGUCACUAGUGGAUAGUCCAUCUGAAAAUAGCUCCUCAACAAAAGGAAAGAGUAAGACACUUGUACGAGACAAAGGCUAUCAGGUGACAUUGGGAGAAGUGGAGGGGUCUUGUGGACUGUCAAAGCUCAAUUGACGGGAGUUAUGGAGUAUGCGAGUGAUCUCAUGAUUAAAGUGGAUAAGGGGCUGGAUCUAGUUGUGGGUUUGGGUGGUGGGUCGAAAAGGGACAAAGGGGGCGGGGGUAGAUCUUACGGGUUUGAAGGCCUCAAGUGCGCUGGCAAAGAGCGUUUCGACGCUGUCACAGAUAGGGUCGUUGGAUGCCAGCAUCACUGUUCACGUCGGUGUCACUCAGGACAUCGGUAGCUUGUGGUCUAACUGCCUUCAAUCACCAGUUGCUAAUGGGGUUGGUACUUUUUUCUAGGGUUCACUUUCAGUUGAAGAUGGGGGUCCUUCCAGGGUCUUGAGUACUUUGGAAGAAAC